rnacentral:lncRNA from 1 species
UGUGAUUUGCUUCUGCCCCACCCUAACUGAUGAAUGUACUUUGUAAUCUCCCCAACCCUUAAGAAUGUUUUUUGUAAUUCUCCCCACCCUUGAGAAUGUACUUUGUGAGAUCCACCCCCUGCCUGCAAAACAUUGCUCCUAACUCCGCCGCCUAUCCCAAAACCUAUAAGAACUAAUGAUAAUUCCACCACCCUUUGCUGACUUUCUUUUUGGACUCAGCCCACCUUCACCCAGGUGAUUAAAAACUUUAUUGCUCACACAAAGCCUGUUUGGUGGUCUCUUCACUCAGAUGCACGUGACAUUUUGUGCCUAAGACCCGGGUCAGAGGGACUCCUUCAGGAGACCAGUCCCCUGUCCUCACUCUCACUCCAUGAAGAGAUCCACCUACGACCUCAGGUCCUCAGACCAACCAGCCCAAGGAACAUCUCACCAAUUUCAAAUCGGGUUCUGACGCCACGCCAAUCCCGUUCAAAGCUGCCCUGAGAGACAUCGCCCAUUAUCUCCCCAUAACUCCCCCAAAUUUUUCACCACUCCAACACUUCACCACUAUUUUGUUUUUCUUAUUAAUAUAAGAAGACAGGAAUGUCAGGCCUCUGAGCCCAAGCUAAGCCAUCAUAUCCCCUGUGACCUGCACGUAUACAUCCAGAUGGCCUGAAGCAACUGAAGAUCCACAAAAGAAGUGAAAAUAGCCUUAACUGAUGACAUUCCAACAUUGUGAUUUGUUUCUGCCCCACCCUAACUGAUCAGUGUACUUGUAAUCUCCCCCACCCUUAAGAAGUUUCUUUGUAAUUCUUCCCACCCUUGAGAAUGUAUUUGUGAGAUCCACCCCCUGCCCACAAAACAUUGCUUCUAACUCCACCACCUAUCCCCAAACCUGUAAGAACUAAUGAUAAUCCCACCACCCUUUGCUGACUUUCUUUUUGGACUCAGCCCACCUUCAGCCAUGUGAUUAAAAAGCUUUAUUGCUCACACAAAGCCUGUUUGGUGGUCUCUUCACGUGGAUGCGCAUGACAAUC